rnacentral:rRNA from 1 species
GAUGAACGCUGGCGGCGUGCCUAAUACAUGCAAGUCGAGCGAACAGACGAGGAGCUUGCUCCUCUGACGUUAGCGGCGGACGGGUGAGUAACACGUGGAUAACCUACCUAUAAGACUGGGAUAACUUCGGGAAACCGGAGCUAAUACCGGAUAAUAUAUUGAACCGCAUGGUUCAAUAGUGAAAGACGGUUUUGCUGUCACUUAUAGAUGGAUCCGCGCCGCAUUAGCUAGUUGGUAAGGUAACAGCUUACCAAGGCAACGAUGCGUAGCCGACCUGAGAGGAGGAUCGGCCACACUGGAACUGAGACACGGUCCAGACUCCUACGGGAGGCAGCAGUAGGGAAUCUUCCGCAAUGGGCGAAAGCCUGACGGAGCAACGCCGCGUGAGUGAUGAAGGUCUUCGGAUCGUAAAACUCUGUUAUUAGGGAAGAACAAAUGUGUAAGUAACUAUGCACGUCUUGACGGUACCUAAUCAGAAAGCCACGGCUAACUACGU